rnacentral:rRNA from 1 species
UACGUAGGGUGCGAGCGUUGUCCGGAAUUAUUGGGCGUAAAGAGCUCGUAGGCGGUCUGUCGCGUCGAUCGUGAAAACUUGGGGCUUAACCCUGAGCUUGCGGUCGAUACGGGCAUGACUGGAGUUCGGCAGGGGAGACUGGAAUUCCUGGUGUAGCGGUGAAAUGCGCAGAUAUCAGGAGGAACACCCGUGGCGAAGGCGGCUCUCUGGGACGGUACUGACGCUGAGACGCGAAAGCGUGGGGAGCGAACAGG